CCUACGGGUGGCAGCAGUGGGGAAUAUUGGACAAUGGGCGAAAGCCUGAUCCAGCCAUGCCGCGUGUGUGAAGAAGGCCUUCGGGUUGUAAAGCACUUUCAGUGGGGAAGAAAGCCUUGGGGCUAAUACCCUCGAGGAAGGACAUCACCCACAGAAGAAGCACCGGCUAACUCCGUGCCAGUAGCCGCGGUAAUACGGAGGGUGCGAGCGUUAAUCGGAAUUACUGGGCGUAAAGCGCGCGUAGGCGGUCUGAUAAGCCGGUUGUGAAAGCCCCGGGCUCAACCUGGGAAUGGCAUCCGGAACUGUCAGGCUAGAGUGCAGGAGAGGAAGGUAGAAUUCCCGGUGUAGCGGUGAAAUGCGUAGAGAUCGGGAGGAAUACCAGUGGCGAAGGCGGCCUUCUGGACUGACACUGACGCUGAGGUGCGAAAGCGUGGGUAGCAAACAGGAUUAGAUACCCGUGUAGUC
rnacentral:rRNA from 1 species